AAAAAAAAUGGAUCCGUCGGUUUACUGAGUAAUAUCACCCGCUCGAUGGAAGAUCUUCCUUUUGUUGU
rnacentral:pre_miRNA from 1 species